CCUACGGGGGGCAGCAGUGGGGAAUAUUGGGCAAUGGGCGCAAGCCUGACCCAGCAACGCCGCGUGAAGGAAGAAGGCUUUCGGGUUGUAAACUUCUUUUCUCAGGGACGAAGAAAGUGACGGUACCUGUGGAAUAAGCCACGGCUAACUACGUGCCAGCAGCCGCGGUAAUACGUAGGUGGCAAGCGUUAUCCGGAUUUAUUGGGUGUAAAGGGCGUGUAGGCGGGAGCGCAAGUCAGAUGUGAAAACUCAGGGCUCAACCCUGGGCCUGCAUUUGAAACUGUGUUUCUUGAGUGCUGGGGAGGCAAUCGGAAUUCCGGGUGUAGCGGUGAAAUGCGUAGAUAUACGGAGGAACACCAGUGGCGAAGGCGGAUUGCUGGACUGUAACUGACGUUGAGGCUCGAAAGCGUGGGGAGCAAACAGGAUUAGAUACCCGUGUAGUC
rnacentral:rRNA from 1 species